CAGCCCAGCUUUGCCUGCCGGUGGCUAAGAAGACUCACCGUAAGGGGCCGGCCCUGUGCCUGGAGGCUCCUGGCUCUGUCUGCAGCGGGUGCCCCGCAGUCCAUCACAGCCAUGGAGUGCACAACCGAGCGAGGCUGCGUGUCUAGGAAGUUUCAUCUCGUAAGAGCUGUGAGACACCCACGUAUUCUCUCAGGUGGAGGACAGCCAAGUGACCAGAGUUACAGAAGAGGGAGGAGAGCAGGAGAAAGAAGGGUCUGAACUGACAAAUUCUUCUGGCAGCGCCGAGAGCAAGAGCUGUGCCCGUGGAGGUCCAUGGUGGAGCAGACAUGCACCCGCAGCCCGUGGAGGACCCCACGCCAGAACAGGUGGAUGUGCCUGCAGGAACCUGUGACCCUGUGGAGAGCGCACACUGGAACAGGCUCCUGUCAGCAGCUGUGGAGAGGAGCCCAUGCUGGAGGAGGUUUGCUGGCAGGACCUGUGGCCCCGUGGGAAGGACCCCACGCUAGAGCAGAAGAAGAACAUGAGGAGGAAGGAGCAGCAGGGACAACAUGUGAUGAACUGACCGCAACCCCUGCUCCCUGUCCCCCUGCACUGCUUUGGGGGAGGAGGUAGAGAAGUGAGGAGUGAAGAUGAGCCCAGGAAAAAAGAGAGGGGGGGAAGGUGUUUUUUAGAUUUGUUCUUUUUCUCAUGAUCUUACUCUGAUUUUGACUGACAAUAAAUUAUAUUGAUUUCCCCAA